UUUUAUGUAACAUUUAUUCAGAUUGAUUCCGAAUCCGCUAAGAAUGUCGGUGCUAAUUUGGAGAGGAUAACUGCCGAUUUGAAACAAAUGAAACAAGAAACCGCAGCAUUAACGGCACAAUUACAGAGUAAAGCUUCGUGAUUGUUAUGUAUAGUGUGGUCGCAUUUUACAUAUUGUAAUAUUCAGGACCAGAUAAGAAUAUAUCUAACACAGAAUAUAAAUGAAUACGAUCAAAAGCAUCGAAGACCAAACAUUUUUUAGCUGUAUAGCUGGCAAGAUAUAACGCGAUAUUGCCAGCAAGAAUCUUUGCGAAUCUAAGUUGGCUGCUGAAAAACGUGCCUUGGCCUGGAAUAGUCAGGCGCUCGCCUCGGGCCAAGUGUAUAAUGACACGUUAACAUCAAUGCUCAAAAGAUUCAUUUGUUACAAAGCCUAAUAAUUUUUUAGCAUCAAGUUCAACUUUCGUAUUUCAUGCAGCUUGGAAAAGAUCUGAUUACAGCUGUAAAUAAAAUAAAUGCUGAAACACAUCAGUUUUGAGUAAAGAACAUGUACAAAAUAUAUAAGAUAUGUACAAAUAAUGGUAAAGUCAAUUUUUAAUAUUUUAUACACAUAUUCUCCUUGUAAAAAUUAUUUUUAUAAAGUAAGUGGUAUAUGUGUGACACUUACACAUAUAAUACUGCAAUAUCAAUAUGUUAAAAAAUAACA